UUAAACGCCAAUAGAAAAAAACAAAAAUCGUAAAAAAACUUUUUUGCUGUAAUUUGUUUAUUAUGAUAAUAUAUGUAUAGAAAAUUAGUUUUAUUAAAUUCUGCCCAUGGGUUACAUAGUUACAGCCAAAUAUAUAACUGAGGUCACCGGUGACCCCCAUGGCGCUAUGAUAGAGGAAUGAUGAGGUCACCGGUGACCCCCAUGGCGUUCAACGUGUUAA